rnacentral:rRNA from 1 species
UACAGAGGUCUCAAGCGUUGUUCGGAUUCAUUGGGCGUAAAGGGUGCGUAGGCGGCGCGGUAAGUCGGGUGUGAAAUCUCGGAGCUUAACUCCGAAACUGCAUUCGAUACUGGCGUGCUUGAGGACUGGAGAGGAGACUGGAAUUUACGGUGUAGCAGUGAAAUGCGUAGAUAUCGUAAGGAAGACCAGUGGCGAAGGCGGGUCUCUGGACAGUUCCUGACGCUGAGGCACGAAGGCCAGGGGAGCAAACGGG